GUGCCACUUUGGAUCCUUCGGGGGGUUUUGGCUUGUAGCCGGUAAGGAGAAACAAGGUGCUACUUGUUUUACCAGCGGAGCCGUUACUGCCGAGCGUCCUGGCAUCACCGUCGCCAGCCCGCCGCUCCACGUCAGUUUGGCAUCUGCGUUUGGUCUUGUUGAAGAAGUAAAAGAAGAAGAUAAAGAAAAAGGUCCGAAAGCUUCAUCCAGGCCAUGAAAAACGGAAAAAAAGAACAAAAUUAAAUUAAAUGUAUAACAGGAGUGUGAGAUUUGAAAGAAGGAAGCUGGGAAAAUUCUCCCACUGAGACAGUCGAUCUGGUCUGUCACUCUAGUUCGGUCACAGGUCAACAGUUUUCACACUGCAAGACAAGAAAACAUGCAUCAUGUUAGAAAUGAAACAGUUAAUGCUGCAAAUUAUGUUCAGAAAUAUCUCUGUUAUAUGUUUAUUUCGAAUAAAUUGGCUGUAAAACCCGG